rnacentral:lncRNA from 1 species
CAUCUUGGGGCGACGGGCAGAAGUCGAGGGCUAGGAGCCUCCGCCGGCGCACGCUGGGGAACAGCAGUUACUGAUGCUACAAUAUUCCUUUAUGAAGCCAAGAACUGAACCAAAAUACAAAAAACAUAAACUACCACUUGAUGAGAAUAACUUCAAAGUCAAAUUGCAAAAGGUGACUAAAAAAGGGGAAUACUUUCAGCCAUUUUCAAAAUAACCUGUGAUAUGUACUGGAAAACUUCUAAUAAUCCUUGUCAUUUUACAACUUUCCCACAGUUAGGUCAUCAGCAAAUGUCACUUGGAUCCCUAGCCAAAUUGUUCUUCCCAGAAAAUAAUUAUCUCCACUAUGGAAAGUAUUUUAUCAUAAGAAUUCGUAGAAGUAGAAUCUGUUUGUCUUCAGUUAAACAAAAGAAGAACCUCAUUGCUUUCCAACUGGGCCCCAGCCAUUUUCCAGUUGAAACAUCAAACAUUUUAUUUGGUUCUUUCACUGCCAAUUAAAGGACAACAGAAAUGGUACAGGCUCCCUCUGCAGUGGGAUUACCCUUAUGUCUUCUCUGUCUAUGCUGAUCCACCUAAUCUUGAACUGGUGCUGUUCCAUGGGGAAAACUGGAACACGGGGCAAUUAGCACUUUCUUCACUUUAUCCCAUCAACAGGAAAUUGAAAUAUAACCAACUAACUCAGGAAACAUGGAAGAUGUCACACAGUGAAUGAUGAUUAAGCAGAAUUUUUAAAAUGUGUAGGAUUAUGAGAAGUGGGGUCAUUUUUCUUUGUGUAUGGUAUUGCUGAUGCAGUUUAAUACUCCAUUACUUCUAAAUUUUCACCAUAAGCUAGAUUUUCCAGUUGUGGUUUCUAUAAAGAAAAACAAACAUUCUGAAGACAGUUUUUCCAGAUUUAUUCUAGAUAUCGAUGAUUAACUUUCGAAUCUCCUCUGUUGAUUUGAACAUCCACUGAAACUUAUUUUUCACCUCAGAAUAGCAUCAACAUUAUUUGAAAUUUGAUUGUACUUUCUCAUUACAUUAAUAAAUCAUGGAAGCUGAGAA